rnacentral:rRNA from 1 species
GACGAACGCUGGCGGCGUGCUUAACACAUGCAAGUCGAACGGAAAGGCCCUGCUUUUGUGGGGUGCUCGAGUGGCGAACGGGUGAGUAACACGUGAGUAACCUGCCCUUGACUUUGGGAUAACUUCAGGAAACUGGGGCUAAUACCGGAUAGGAGCUCCUGCUGCAUGGUGGGGGUUGGAAAGUUUCGGCGGCUGGGGAUGGACUCGCGGCUUAUCAGCUUGUUGGUGGGGUAGUGGCUUACCAAGGCUUUGACGGGUAGCCGGCCUGAGAGGGUGACCGGCCACAUUGGGACUGAGAUACGGCCCAGACUCCUACGGGAGGCAGCAGUGGGGAAUAUUGCACAAUGGGCGGAAGCCUGAUGCAGCAACGCCGCGUGCGGGAUGACGGCCUUCGGGUUGUAAACCGCUUUCGCCUGUGACGAAGCGUGAGUGACGGUAAUGGGUAAAGAAGCACCGGCUAACUACGUGCCAGCAGCCGCGGUGAUACGUAGGGUGCGAGCGUUGUCCGGAUUUAUUGGGCGUAAAGGGCUCGUAGGUGGUUGAUCGCGUCGGAAGUGUAAUCUUGGGGCUUAACCCCUGAGCGUGCUUUCGAUACGGGUUGACUUGAGGAAGGUAGGGGAGAAUGGAAUUCCUGGUGGAGCGGUGGAAUGCGCAGAUAUCAGGAGGAACACCAGUGGCGAAGGCGGUUCUCUGGGCCUUUCCUGACGCUGAGGAGCGAAAGCGUGGGGAGCGAACAGGCUUAGAUACCCUGGUAGUCCACGCUGUAAACGGUGGGUACUAGGUGUGGGGUCCAUUCCACGGGUUCCGUGCCGUAGCUAACGCUUUAAGUACCCCGCCUGGGGAGUACGGCCGCAAGGCUAAAACUCAAAGGAAUUGACGGGGCCCCGCACAAGCGGCGGAGCAUGCGGAUUAAUUCGAUGCAACGCGUAGAACCUUACCUGGGUUUGACAUGGAUCGGGAGCGCUCAGAGAUGGGUGUGCCUCUUUUGGGGUCGGUUCACAGGUGGUGCAUGGCUGUCGUCAGCUCGUGUCGUGAGAUGUUGGGUUAAGUCCCGCAACGAGCGCAACCCUUGUUCACUGUUGCCAGCACGUUAUGGUGGGGACUCAGUGGAGACCGCCGGGGUCAACUCGGAGGAAGGUGGGGAUGACGUCAAGUCAUCAUGCCCCUUAUGUCCAGGGCUUCACGCAUGCUACAAUGGCUGGUACAGAGAGUGGCGAGCCUGUGAGGGUGAGCGAAUCUCGGAAAGCCGGUCUCAGUUCGGAUUGGGGGCUGCAACUCGACCUCAUGAAGUCGGAGUCGCUAGUAAUCGCAGAUCAGCAACGCUGCGGUGAAUACGUUCCCGGGGCU